AGCACCUCUUUAAGAUGCCUUGUAGAGAAGAUUUCAUGAGAUUUCCCAGGCAGCCUGACUCCUGCUCCCAGGAGGCCAUCUUCAAGAUUCACAGGUGCUGACAGACUAAAGUGACCAUCCUAUGAACAGAAGACCCAGGUCACUCGGAGCCAGGAGAAAGUCCAGCUGGAUUAAUGAAUGGAUGCUGAAGGCCCAGAGCAGAGGAGAUAACUGUACCUGGAGCUAAUCAACCAACACAAGGAAGAAACUGAGACACAGAGAGGUGCAGUGCUUCCUCAAGGUCAUGCAGCAUAUAAACAGUCGUGAGCAAAGUCCUCUGGAUGUGGAGUCCAUCCUCAGGAUCACUUCAGCAUGAAGGUAGCUGACUUAGAUGGUGCCAUCUUUUGUUGUGUAGCCCUUCUUGUUUUGCCAACAACUUUCAAAAGUGGUCUUAUUUUGCCCUGAUGACAGGGUUAGCUGUUAACAGGGAUAGGAGGCAAAGUUGCCAGUUUAUAUCUGAGGUAACCAUGAUGUCAACAGCAGCUUGAAAUUGUCAGAAUUGCUCAUGCUCAGACUAUGGGGAAAAGAA